CGGCAUGCUGCUGCUGACUCGCUCGGCGAGAUGCAGAGGUACGCCGGCGCUGGCAACAGCAACAUCUUUGGGUUUAGCGGCGGCCGGGCGUCGGCCGGCAGCAGGGACAGCUCCAGGCUCGAUGUGUCGCCCUACGCUCCGCCCAAUUACCCCCUGAACCCAAGGUAACACGCUACUGCCUGCUCCCCCUGUUCUGCUCUCCCCGUGCAAAUUUAGUUGCUUAAUCAAACCGGUAUCAACAAUAGUGUGUAGUGUUAGCAAGCCGAGGCGCGUCAAUUAGUCUGUAUUUAGCUGGUA
rnacentral:lncRNA from 1 species